rnacentral:rRNA from 1 species
AGUGAACGCUGGCGGUAGGCCUAACACAUGCAAGUCGAACGGCAGCACAGUAAGAGCUUGCUCUUACGGGUGGCGAGUGGCGGACGGGUGAGGAAUACAUCGUAAUCUACUUUUUCGUGGGGGAUAACGUAGGGAAACUUACGCUAAUACCGCAUACGACCUACGGGUGAAAGCAUGGGAUCUUCGGACCUUGCGCGAUUGAAUGAGCCGAUGUCGGAUUAGCUAGUUGGCGGGGUAAAGGCCCACCAAGGCGACGAUCCGUAGCUGGUCUGGGAGGAUGGUCGGCCACACUGGAAGUGAGACACGGUCCAGAGUCCUACGGGAGGGAGCAGUGUGGAAUAUUGGACAAUGGGCGCAAGCCUGAUCCAGCCAUACCGCGUGGGUGAAGAAGGCCUUCGGGUUGUAAAGCCCUUUUGUUGGGAAAGAAAAGCAGCAGGUUAAUACCCCGCUGUUCUGACGGUACCCAAAGAAUAAGCACCGGCUAACUUCGUG